rnacentral:lncRNA from 1 species
ACCACCACCUCCAUAUUAUUAUAAGUCGCCACCUCCACCUUCACCAUCACCUCCACCACCAUAUUAUUAUAAAUCUCCGCCACCACCCUCGCUAUCACCACCUCCACCUUACUAUUAUAAGUCUCCACCGCCACCUUCUCCUUCACCUCCUCCACCAUACUACUAUAAAUCUCCACCACCUCCUUCACCUUCACCUCCGCCACCUUAUUAUUACAAGUCUCCGCCUCCUCCGUCACCAUCACCACCACCACCAUACUAUUAUAAGUCCCCACCACCACCUGCUAAGUCACCUCCUCCCCCAUACUACUACAGUUCUCCACCACCACCACUAAAGUCUCCUCCUCCACCAUAUUAUUAUUCCUCACCGCCACCACCAAAGAAAUCACCCCCGCCACCAUAUCACUAUACUUCCCCACCACCACCAGUUAAGUCUCCUCCUCCAUCGUAUUACUAUUCCUCACCACCACCGCCAAAGAAAUCACCUCCUCCCCCAUAUCACUAUAGUUCCCCACCUCCACCAGUUAAGUCUCCUCCUCCACAAUAUUACUAUUCCUCACCACCGCCUCCCAAGAAAUCACCUCCUCCACCAUAUUAUUACUCUUCUCCACCACCACCAAAGAAAUCACCACCGCCACCAUAUCACUACUCUUCCCCACCACCACCAGUAAAGUCACCUCCAACUCCAUACUACUACACCUCCCCACCACCUCCAAAGAAGUCUUCUCCCCCACCGUACUAUUACGCUUCACCACCACCACCUACUCAGUACUAUCCUCCAUAUCAUCAUUUGGUGGUCAAGGUUGUCGGAAAGGUCUACUGUUUUAGAUGCUAUGAUUCAAAAUAUCCAGAGAAGUCUCAUGGCAAGAAACACCU